GAACAAAAAUAAAUUUGCACCAUCACAUGACAGGAGUAGAAGGUGGUUCUGGGCGUCGCGUGGUGUAAACACACAGUCUUGUGAUGGAGAGGCGAAGGUUGCUUGGGACCCCCACUGCUCCCACCUUACACAUAUAUACCAGACCCCACUACCUGAGCUACAGUGUAGACCGCACCGCCGGAGGUAGAGGAGUUCUUUCUCUCUCUCACACUUGUACUCACACACACGCGCACACACACACACACACCUACACACACACUCACCCGCACACACAUACAUCCACAGACAAAAACACUUGUAUUAAUCAAAAUGUUGUAGGAAAAUUCAGUGAUCUCCACAAAGUGACAAAAGUGUAUAUGUAGAUGGAUAACAAUGUUAUCGCGACUGACCAUGGCAGUCACCUCUAGUUUCCUAGUCACGCUACUGACCCACAAUACCCAAGACAGAUGCCAUACCCUAAAAGGAUUUAUUUCUUUUCGCCUCACGAAAAAUACAGUAAUGGAGGACGUGGUAGCAGGAGCUUCAUACUGGCUGAAUUAACUGAUCUACACUCAACAUGUCGCCGAGAUCUCCAGCGGUUAUUGUUGAUUCUGCCAGUACUCGUCAUACGCUCACGGACUCCACAACGUAUUACAACCUCACACUAAAGUACCCAGACUCCUCUGCCACUCUCACCAGCUCCGUCUUACUCGUAUGUUAUUAUUUUAUGGCUGGUUGUUGCCCUGGCCACUACACGUCUUGCUGACGGGUUGUGACUGUUAUAUGUGCUAAUGAUGUGUCUACGUUAAUAUAACAUCGACAAUGAAGAAUGAAAUUCUUCAUCAUCUCUCGAUGUGACAUGGGACAUUAUGCUAGGAUAUACGUGAAGGAUGCAGUGGAUAUACGUGAAGGAUGCAGUGGAUAUACGUGAAGGAUGCAGUGGAUAUACGUGAAGGAUGCAGUGGAUAUACGUGAAGGAUGCAGUGGAUAUACAUGAAUGAUGCAAUGGUUAUGAAAUGACAAACUGAAAUUAACAUCAAAACGUGAAAUGAAAGGAAAUGUGCCAGGUGCUGAGAAAUAUCGUAAAAAAAAAAAAACAGUUUAGGUAGAGCUAACUUUUAUAUACAGAGACACACUUUUGCUCUAAACAGCUUUGUCAUGUCAUUACAAGAAAUGUGGAAACAUGACAUACACAUAUCAUAUAGCAAUGUUUCUUGUUGUGACUUAUGUGGCUGUUUAGAGCAAACUAUAAUUUCUUGCUCUGCUUCCCACACUAACAGAAGUGUGGCAGUGACAAUAUGGUGACGAUCAGUUUCCUGACUGUACUUAGUGGGGGAUGUGAUUAAUUCAUUCAUAUUGCCUAGUUGGUAGCUUAUUCCUGAGCACCUCAAGAAUACUGUCGGAGAGUGUCUACAUCCUUCACAUGUUGUUCCAGAGCACCUCAGGAAUACUGUCGGAGAGUGUCUACAAUCUUCUCAUGUUGUUCCUGAGCCCCUCAGGAAUACUGUCGUAGAGUGUCUACAGCUUUCACAUGUUGUUCCUGAGCACCUCAGGAAUACUGUCGGAGAGUGUCUACAGCUUUCACAUGUUGUUCCUGAGCACCUCAGGAAUACUGUCGGAGAGUGUCUACAGCUUUCACAUGUUGUUCCUGAGCCCCUCAGGAAUACUGUCGGAGAGUGUCUACAGCUUUCACAUGUUGUUCCUGAGCACCUCAGGAAUACUGUCGGAGAGUGUCUACAGCUUCCACAUGUUAUUCAUGAGCACCUCAGGAAUACUGUCGGAGUGUCUACAGUCUUCACAUGUUCCUGAGCACCUCAGGAAUACUGUCGGAGAGUGUCUACAGCUUUCACAUGUUAUUCCUGAGCACCUCAGGAAUACUGUCGGAGAGUGUCUACAUCCUUCACAUGUUGUUCCUGAGCACGUCAGGAAUACUGUCGGAGAGUGUCUACAGUUGUCUUAGUUUGAAACUCGUACGUUUUUUUUUUUUUUUUUUGAGUCUGGUACCAAAAUAUUGUCACCAAUUUCAAAAUUGCAUGAAAAGAACUUAUUAAUCCAUGAGGGGCUCUAAUACCAGAGUCUUGGCUCAAGACAUUUUCAUAGAAAAGUUGUGACUGAAAAAUAAUGAUGAAAGUUCCGGCGUGUUAUCUCCAGCCUAAACUGUGACGGACGAGAGGAACGAUGCUGAUCGUUUGGCGACAAUUUGGAGUGUUUAGCAUUUUCUUAAGAUAUAAGUUUUGUGUUCGAAGAAUUAAAUCCGCAGUCUCUCUUGUUUGGACCUCGACAUAAGCAACAUUGGACCCAGAGAGAAAUGCCACUCAAAAAUAUUGCUCUGUAUUUCCUAUUUGACGCAAUCCACGGAAUGUUGCCCCAUUUCUUAGCUAAUAAAUAUAUCCCAAGUUAUGGCUCCUUGGCCGAGAGUGCAGUGACCCCCUCGUACAAGGAGCUUAUCAUCACUGAACCAACUGUGAAUUGCAAUAUUGCAACUAUGGUUCCCGGGACAGCAACACUUAAACCAGUAGAAAGAAUCUGAGCUGCAUAUCGGAAACUAAAAUUGACUACGACCCUAGUAACUCUUGCAAUAUUGAACUCCACCUCUAUCUAGUCAGUUCUCUGGGAGGGUUCUAUAAUUUACCUUGCUGCCAUUUAACCACUCAGACAACUGCCUGGAAUAAUGGAACAAAUGUGCCACACUAUUGGUUUUUACAGUGCCACCUGAGCCAAUAGGCAGCCCACUUGCUCCCGUUGGUGAUGUGAAUCCCGGAAUGUUUC